GUGGCGGGUCUGACAGAACACACUGCCCACCACCGCCAUAACCACCACAGUAAAAAUGCAUGAGGGACCAGAGCUUCACUUGACAGCUAAAUUCAUCACCGCAGUCAGACAGAAGACGCUAUUCGGGAGCCAGGUGGUCAAGUCAGCAGUGUCCACCAAGAACCCUGACGUGGAAUGGAACAAGGAAGUGUACAGGGUGCCUGCCAACUCCAGAGGGAAAGAGCUGAAGGUGGUGGUGAAGGGCGGCGCGUCUCAAUAUUCUCAUCCGUUUCAACAUGUCAGACAGCUUCAAGUACACGCAUGUCAGUGAGCUGCCCAAACACGCACAAUUGUAAUGUAUAAUGAGGAAAAAAAUAUGGCAUUGAAAAGAUAGAUAAGGAAGAUCUGGUACUGGUG